rnacentral:rRNA from 1 species
AACGAACGCUGGCGGCAUGCCUAACACAUGCAAGUCGAACGAGACCUUCGGGUCUAUUGGCGCACGGGUGCGUAACGCGUGGGAACCUGCCCUUAGGUUCGGAAUACCUCCCCGAAAGGGGUGCUAAUACCGGAUAAUGUCUUCGGACCAAAGAUUUAUCGCCUUUGGAUGGGCCCUCGUUGGAUUAGCUAGUUGGUAGGGUAAGAGCCUACCAAGGCGAGGUUCCAUAGCUGGUAGGAGAGGAGGAUCAGCCACACUGGGACUAAGACACGGCCCAGACUCCUACGGGAGGGAGCAGUGGGGAACAUUGGACAAUGGGCGAAAGCAUGAUACAGCAAUGCCGGGUAAGUGAUGAAGGCCUUAGGGUUGUAAAGCUCUUUUAACCGGGAUGAUAAUGACAGUACCGGGAGAAUAAGCUCCGGCUAACUACGUG